rnacentral:rRNA from 1 species
CCUACGGGAGGCAGCAGUGGGGAAUAUUGCACAAUGGGCGCAAGCCUGAUGCAGCCAUGCCGCGUGUGUGAAGAAGGCCUUCAGGUUGUAAAGCACUUUCAGCGGGGAGGAAGGCGUUAAGGUUAAUAACCUUGUCGAUUGACGUUACCCGCAGAAGAAGCACCGGCUAACUCCGUGCCAGCAGCCGCGGUAAUACGGAGGGUGCAAGCGUUAAUCGGAAUUACUGGGCGUAAAGCGCACGCAGGCGGUCUGUCAAGUCGGAUGUGAAAUCCCCGGGCUCAACCUGGGAACUGCAUUCGGAACUGGCAGGCUAGAGUCUUGUAGAGGGGGGUAGAAUUCCAGGUGUAGCGGUGAAAUGCGUAGAGAUCUGGAGGAAUACCGGUGGCGAAGGCGGCCCCCUGGACAAAGACUGACGCUCAGGUGCGAAAGCGUGGGGAGCAAACGGGAUUAGAUACCCGGGUAGUC